GCGUCAGUGGUUUAGUGGUAAAAUCCAUCGUUGCCAUUCAGAGCUGUGAAUUCGAUGGGCCCCGCGUUCGAUUCGCGGCUGACGCA